rnacentral:rRNA from 1 species
GAUAAACGCUGGCGGCGUGCCUAAAACAUGCAAGUCGUACGGGCUUCGGCUUCGGCCGGAGUCAGUGGCGGACGGCUGAGUAACACGUGGGUGACCUACCUCCGAGCGGGGGAUAACUGCCCGAAAGGGUGGCUAAUACCGCAGACGUUGUCGGCUCGUACCGGCAACUCAACCCGCAAGGGGCUUGGAGAGGGGCCCGCGGCCGAUUAGCUUGUUGGUGGGGUAAUGGCCUACCAAGGCGAAGAUCGGUAGCUGGUCUGAGAGGAUGAUGAGCCAGACUGGGACUGCGACACGGACCAGAAUCCUACGGGAGGCAGCAGUUAGGAAGUUUGGGCAAUGGGGGAAACCCUGACCCAGCAACGCCGCGUGGGUGACGAAGGCCUUCGGGUUGUAAAGCCCUUUAAGCGAGGAGGAGGCUACUUUAGUUAAUACCUAGAGAUAGUGGACGUUACUCGCAGAAUAAGCACCGGCUAACUCUGUGCCAGCAGCCGCAGUAACAC